UACGUAGGGGGCAAGCGUUGUCCGGAAUUAUUGGGCGUAAAGAGCUCGUAGGCGGUUUGUCGCGUCGGCCGUGAAAACUUGGGGCUUAACCCCAAGCCUGCGGUCGAUACGGGCAGACUUGAGUUCGGCAGGGGAGACUGGAAUUCCUGGUGUAGCGGUGAAAUGCGCAGAUAUCAGGAGGAACACCGGUGGCGAAGGCGGGUCUCUGGGCCGAUACUGACGCUGAGGAGCGAAAGCGUGGGGAGCGAACAGG
rnacentral:rRNA from 1 species